UUAAUUGUAGCUAAAUAAGCAAUAUUACUGUUAAUGAUAAGAUAAGAAACUCUUCAAUUAAG
rnacentral:tRNA from 1 species